AAUCCAUGUUGAGGGCAUUUCCGUAAAAGAUCCUUAAAUCGUUCCCAUGUCUCAAACAAUUAUUUUAGCUCCAUCUGAACAUAUGAAGAUAUCUCAUUGCGAAGCUU